UACGAAGGGGGCUAGCGUUGCUCGGAAUCACUGGGCGUAAAGGGUGCGUAGGCGGGUCUUUAAGUCAGGGGUGAAAUCCUGGAGCUCAACUCCAGAACUGCCUUUGAUACUGAGGAUCUUGAGUUCGGGAGAGGUGAGUGGAACUGCGAGUGUAGAGGUGAAAUUCGUAGAUAUUCGCAAGAACACCAAUGGCGAAGGCAGCUCGCUGGGACGUUACUGACGCUGAGACGCGAAAGCGUGGGGAGCAAACAGG
rnacentral:rRNA from 1 species